UCCUUUCACAAACCUCCGUCCAGACUCUCCUCAGUGUGUUAACGAGUAAGAUGCAGACAAGAUGCCUCUUUACCCCCAAGUUUUUCAGAGGCUUUUUACUAUGAGGAAAACAGCUCUGAUCUGUAACCAAAUACCUUCUCUGAGAAGAUAGGAACAGAGAGACCCAGCUCUGCCUUAAACUAGCAGUGAACCCCAAACAACAGAGUGACUCAGAGACCAAGGCUUCAAGAACAUGCUGGUCCACCUCAAAACGAAAACACAAUGAGUCUUUUUUUCACUUCACUAUUAUGUUUUCAUCAAUCAAGCUGAAGGAGAGGAAGAAAAGGCUCUGGAAAUCUUGGGAAUAUAAAAAUCCAAUUGUAACUUGUUAACAAAAAAAGGAGUACACAAGCCUGAAACUCCAAGAUGUUAACAAAUACAGAUCUAUGCUUAUAGGCAGUGUCUACAUUUUUUCCCUAUAGCUGCAAUACAAAUUAUGGGGACUCCUUCAUUCACCAGGUAUCUGGGUACCCGACUAAGCUCAAGUGCUGACAUGGGGCAGGGAGACAGAGUAAGCAAAGCAGAGAGACAGGGCCUCGGCCCUUAUGGAAUUUACAGUCCCAUGAGGUGGACAGAUCUAAAAUGAUGCUAGAAACAAAUAUGUAUAAAGAGCUAGCUAAUACUUUCUACCACAAACAGGAUCUUCUAUUUACAUGAUACCCUAAAAUCCUAUUUUAGAAUAAAAUAUAACCUCAUUUUACAGGUGGAAAAAAGAUACAUGAAACAAUUUGCCAAAGGUCAUACAACAAAUCACCUGAGUUCAGCAAGGCCUCGAAGUCCACAUUCUUUCACUGCAUCAGGGGAACCACAUUCUGCUUUAGAGAAAUCAAAAAUACGUCUUCUUUGCUGUCUUUCUGAUGCUCAGGUAUAAUCUCAACAGGUUUAACCAGAGUCACCCCUAAUUAAUGACACACCUAGUGUAACUAGUGCCUGCAGAUCCUCCCUGGCCCCAGGAGUCACAGGAAUGAGAGUCUGGAGAAGGUCUUAGGCAUCUACCCUUUCUACAGCAGACACAGGAACAAGUCAGAAACAGCUCUCUAACUCCGGGGAAUGAAGACACCACCCACGCUUCAUGGCAGAGACCGGACACAUCAACAGGAGGCCAAAAGUAAAAACACUGUGCUCAACAGAUUUCCUAGUCUUACUAACUCUGUGGUAGUUAAAUCCUCAGAAAAAUUUCAAUAGUCUCUGAGUGAGAGCAUUAAUAAUAAUUUGACCUAUACUUCAAGGAGGGAGAUAUGUGAAAGUUACUCACUUAAGCAGGAUAUGCCAGGGGUUAAGAUAUCUCUGGAAAAUCUCCAAAUACUACCUCAUCAACUCAUUAGAGACAGAGGCAUCUCCAAACUUGUAUGGUCUUUCCCUCUCAGACAUCAGAACUGCAUAGUGCCAAAGUAAUCCAGGUAUGAUUCAAAACCCAAUUCAUGUAUUCAAUGUACAUUUAUUGAACACCUGUAGUCAUCAGGAACUGACCUGGGGACUGGAAACAUAAACAUGAGAAAGACUGUCACUCUGCUAGAUGGAAGUGUACCCAUUCAUAAUUGUUUACCUUUCUCAUACCUAACCACUCAAGAGUCCAGGCAGGAAGUUCUUCUAGUGCCCCACAAACACCAAAUAAGUCUGCUUUCUCACUUCUGUGCCUCUGAUCAUGGGAUGUCCACUGGAAUAUUCCCACCAUACUUCAUCUACCCAAAUCCUCACAUUCUUCAA